rnacentral:rRNA from 1 species
UACGAAGGGGGCUAGCGUUACUCGGAAUGACUGGGCGUAAAGGGCGCGUAGGCGGUUUGCUUAGUUAGGCGUGAAAUUCCUGGGCUCAACCUGGGGGCUGCGCUUAAUACAGGCAGACUAGGGUGUGAAAGAGGGUCGUGGAAUUUCCAGUGUAGAGGUGAAAUUCGUAGAUAUCAGGAGGAACACCUGUGGCGAAAGCGGCUCACUGGACCAUAACUGACGCUGAUGCACGAAAGCUAGGGGAGCAAACAGG